AGAGGGAGAAAGGUAUGUCCCAGCCUUGUCAAUUUCAGCUCUCCUGGGUAAGCAAGGAUGAGAUUUCAUGUUGUGGCUAAGGGUGUGUGAUGUCCAGAGCAUUUGGAGGUCAGCCUGGCGGAGGUAACACCAUGCAUGUGAUUGCUAUUUUAUAAACCGCACGGAGAGAAAUCCCUACCCCAAGAAUUUGACCAUCUCUAAUUGGAGACCAGGACAACAGAGAGGAAAGGAAAAGAUGCAAUUGCAGCUUGGUUUUCCUGUGAAAUGGAUCCAUGGCGGCUUCAUCCCCAACAGCGGUCAUUGUCUGAAGGGGCCACUCUCAAGCCGAGGAGUGAGAUGCGAAGAUGUCAUCCAGGGCUGGUAGCUGGAGUCCGAUGAUAUUCUGAUGAGCCCGUCAAGUCAAGAUGGCAGCCAUGAUGGAAGAAACCUGGUGGCGCAGCAGACUAAUAGCCUGUUAUUAACAUUCAGCUCCCUGCAAUUACUGCAAGUUCAAAUCUCCCCAGGCUCAAGGUUGACUCAGCCUUCCAUCCUUUCUAAGGUAGGUAAAUUGAGGACCAAGUUUGUGGGGGCAAUAAGUUGA